CUCCCAACACUUCCCACCAAAUCCUUCAUUCCACCAAAGCAACUCUAUUUCUGCCAAAUAUCCUACUAACCUACAAGAAAAUAACCCGCAACAAUUAGAAUCACAACAAACAAACCCAUUACCCUCCACCACUCUAUAUGUACCUUAAGCUCUACUUGCCCAAACUCAAUUUACCCAAGCUCCACAUACCCAAGAUAUCCCACUUGUCCAAACUACCCCAAUCGUCCAAAACCACCAAGAUCCCCC
rnacentral:lncRNA from 1 species